rnacentral:rRNA from 1 species
UACGUAGGGUGCGAGCGUUAAUCGGAAUUACUGGGCGUAAAGCGUGCGCAGGCGGUUUUGUAAGCCAGAUGUGAAAGCCCCGGGCUUAACCUGGGAAUGGCAUUUGGGACUGCAAGGCUUGAGUGCGGCAGAGGAGACUGGAAUUCCUGGUGUAGCAGUGAAAUGCGCAGAUAUCAGGAGGAAUACCUAUGGCGAAAGCAGGUAUCUGGGCCAUCACUGACGCUGAGCUGCGAAAGCUAGGGGAGCAAACAGG